CAAGAUUCCGCUUUAAUCUUUGCAAAUUCCAUCGCCCUCUUAGAAUUUCUCUUCAUUAAGAUCUGCGCAGUGGUGAUUCCAGUUGUAGCAAUAUGGGAAGUAUUGACUUUCGCGAUGUCCGGAUGUUUUGAGUGCCGACAAUUGUAUACCACAGGAAGAAAUUGAUUCACGAGCGUAAUGAUUUUAGUCGUCUCUCCCAUGAAUCUCGAUGUAAUUUAAUUAUAAUUUUACCUUUUUAGAUUUAGAUUGAAUUAGUGUUUUCUCUUGGCAACAAAUUAGAUUUUGAAUAACUUUAUUUUUGCAGUUAAUGUGAAUGAAAUAGAGGCAUUAUAUGAAUUGUUUAAGAAGUUGAGUAGUUCAAUUAUAGACGAUGGAUUGAUACAUAAGGUAUGACUUUCCCUCAAAUGAUAUAUUUUCAACUAAGGUUCGAGCUUAUACAUAUUAUUUUAAGCUGAGCUCCUACUAAUGGGUUAUAUACACUUGGAUUUUCAGGAGAUAUUUAUGUGCUAAUACUCCCAUUUAUGCAUCCAGGGAACAAGAGAUUAUACGAACCUGAGUGGGGAAGUAACGAAUGAUGUGAAAAACCUUUGUCCUGAAUAGUUCUCUUGAAGCAAUCUCCAAUUCCUUUGUAUGGUUGUGCUGAUUUAAUAGAAGAUUUUUCAGGCUAAUUUUUUUUUAUCCCUUUUGUCCUGUAAAGUUUUGUAUGGGACUCGACUAUCCAUAUGCACCUUACUUGAUUAAGAGGUUUUAUUGAAUAAUUGUUCUGAUUUCUGUAAUUGCUAUAUUUAAAAAUCGAGAUUAAAUGGCAAAUGCUGCAGUAGUUUGGUUAUGUUGUUGAUGCAUGGUAUUCUUGUCAAAAACUAAUUAAAGCUAAGGGAAAAUUUUCAAGAUGAAUUUUUUAGUAAUAUGUUAUGUUUUGGUGCAUAAUCCAUUUAGCUUUGUGAAUCCAUUAUUACAUGCUUUCUGCAGUGAAAGAAAUAUUCAGAAUCAAAAUCAUUCGAGAAUAACUGCUUUUACAAUUGUAACUAAACUGCACCUUCAAAAUUUACUAUUGGUUAGUUUUAAAGAUCUCAGUUUGAGAUGUCAGAG
rnacentral:lncRNA from 1 species